rnacentral:rRNA from 1 species
UACUGGAAACGGUAGCUAAUACCGCAUAACGUCGCAAGACCAAAGUGGGGGACCUUCGGGCCUCACACCAUCGGAUGAACCCAGAUGGGAUUAGCUAGUAGGUGGGGUAAUGGCUCACCUAGGCGACGAUCCCUAGCUGGUCUGAGAGGAUGACCAGCCACACUGGAACUGAGACACGGUCCAGACUCCUACGGGAGGCAGCAGUGGGGAAUAUUGCACAAUGGGGGAAACCCUGAUGCAGCCAUGCCGCGUGUGUGAAGAAGGCCUUCGGGUUGUAAAGCACUUUCAGCGGGGAGGAAGGCGGUGGCGUUAAUAGCGCUAUCGAUUGACGUUACCCGCAGAAGAAGCACCGGCUAACUCCGUGCCAGCAGCCGCGGUAAUACGGAGGGUGCGAGCGUUAAUCGGAAUUACUGGGCGUAAAGCGUACGCAGGCGGUCUGUUAAGUCAGAUGUGAAAUCCCCGGGCUUAACCUGGGAACUGCAUUUGAAACUGGCAGGCUAGAGUCUCGUAGAGGGGGGUAGAAUUCCAGGUGUAGCGGUGAAAUGCGUAGAGAUCUGGAGGAAUACCGGUGGCGAAGGCGGCCCCCUGGACGAAGACUGACGCUCAGGUACGAAAGCGUGGGGAGCAAACAGGAUUAGAUACCCUGGUAGUCCACGCUGUAAACGAUGUCGAUUUGAAGGUUGUGGCCUUGAGCCGUGGCUUUCGGAGCUAACGCGUUAAAUCGACCGCCUGGGGAGUACGGCCGCAAGGUUAAAACUCAAAUGAAUUGACGGGGGCCCGCACAAGCGGUGGAGCAUGUGGUUUAAUUCGAUGCAACGCGAAGAACCUUACCUACUCUUGACAUCCAGAGAACUUAGCAGAGAUGCUUUGGUGCCUUCGGGAACUCUGAGACAGGUGCUGCAUGGCUGUCGUCAGCUCGUGUUGUGAAAUGUUGGGUUAAGUCCCGCAACGAGCGCAACCCUUAUCCUUUGUUGCCAGCGAUUCGGUCGGGAACUCAAAGGAGACUGCCGGUGAUAAACCGGAGGAAGGUGGGGAUGACGUCAAGUCAUCAUGGCCCUUACGAGUAGGGCUACACACGUGCUACAAUGGCGCAUACAAAGAGAAGCGAUCUCGCGAGAGUCAGCGGACCUCAUAAAGUGCGUCGUAGUCCGGAUUGGAGUCUGCAACUCGACUCCAUGAAGUCGGAAUCGCUAGUAAUCGUGGAUCAGAAU